rnacentral:rRNA from 1 species
CCUACGGGUGGCAGCAGUCGAGAAUCAUUCACAAUGGGGGAAACCCUGAUGGUGCGACGCCGCGUGGGGGAAUGAAGGUCUUCGGAUUGUAAACCCCUGUCAUGUGGGAGCAAAUUAAAAAGAUAGUACCACAAGAGGAAGAGACGGCUAACUCUGUACCAGCAGCCGCGGUAAUACAGAGGUCUCAAGCGUUGUUCGGAAUCACUGGGCGUAAAGCGUGCGUAGGCUGUUUCGUAAGUCGUGUGUGAAAGGCGCGGGCUCAACCCGCGGACGGCACAUGAUACUGCGAGACUAGAGUAAGGGAGGGGGAACCGGAAUUCUCGGUGGAGCAGUGAAAUGCGUAGAUAUCGAGAGGAACACUCGUGGCGAAGGCGGGUUCCUGGACAUUAACUGACGCUGAGGCACGAAGGCCAGGGGAGCGAAAGGGAUUAGAUACCCCUGUAGUC